AUUGAACGCUGGCGGCAGGCCUAACACAUGCAAGUCGAGCGGAUGAAGGGAGCUUGCUCCUGGAUUCAGCGGCGGACGGGUGAGUAAUGCCUAGGAAUCUGCCUGGUAGUGGGGGAUAACGUCCGGAAACGGGCGCUAAUACCGCAUACGUCCUGAGGGAGAAAGUGGGGGAUCUUCGGACCUCACGCUAUCAGAUGAGCCUAGGUCGGAUUAGCUAGUUGGUGGGGUAAAGGCCUACCAAGGCGACGAUCCGUAACUGGUCUGAGAGGAUGAUCAGUCACACUGGAACUGAGACACGGUCCAGACUCCUACGGGAGGCAGCAGUGGGGAAUAUUGGACAAUGGGCGAAAGCCUGAUCCAGCCAUGCCGCGUGUGUGAAGAAGGUCUUCGGAUUGUAAAGCACUUUAAGUUGGGAGGAGGGGCAGUAAGUUAAUACCUUGCUGCUUUGACGUUACCAACAGAAUAAGCACCGGCUAACUUCGUG
rnacentral:rRNA from 1 species